rnacentral:lncRNA from 1 species
AAAUGAUUAUCAAUUAUUUUUGUUUUACAAAAAGAGCCCACAUGCAAGACUUUGUCCCCAAACAUGCCUUGCCAAACAUGCAAGACUUUGUUUGCAAAAAUCAAAUGUACUUUACUUGGGGUCCUAAUCAAUAUGAUAGUUACUACAAGUUUUAAUAGAAGCCUAAUAAUCAACAUAAACAGUUGAUGACUUUUAUACUGUGUAGACUCAAAACAAAUGUGUUGGAAUGAUGGCGACCAAUUCAAAUUGCUCACAAUUGGCGACCAGAAAUUAAGAUGUGUUGUUCAUCACUGCGGCCGUCGUUGUCUCAUUUGAUCAAUCAAUUAACUUUUCCGGUAGCUAUGGGAUUGAUUCCGUUGUUGGUGCUGCUGUUUCUUCCCACCGCCGGUGGACAGUACGUAAAACCUGUCAUCGCCGGCCUGAUUCCAAUUUCCCACCCGGAGUAGACAUUUGACAUAUCUAAAAUAGAUUCUGAUUUUUGCAGAUAAAGAAGGUUGGAUUGAAAAUUGG